CGAGAGAAAGGGCAGGGGAAGAACAAAACCUCUAUCAACACAAAUCCAUCAAAUUGGAAGGGGAUUUAAGGGCUAUAUGAAUGCAUGAACCAGGAAUGUCGAUCACUUAAGUGUUUCUAACAUCAACACGAAGAAGGAAGAAGGCACUAGUCAUUUGAAGUCACAAGCAACGCAAGAUCACGGUAAAUCCCACACUUGAUGAUGGCGAGCUCGGAUCGAACACACUACACCGCCCUUUAUGCGCUUCCGGUUAAAGUCGUCUUUUGUAAAUGGGUCAAAACACUUUUAUAAUGUAAAUGUUAAACUAAUGUCUAGGAUGUUUCGUAAGUUAGUUAGGAUUUAAAUCUCAUCAUGGUAGUUCGGGCAAAGCACUUGUGAUGAAACCUUGAAUGGUUGUGUUUAUUUCGAACUACCUAAAUAUCAUUUUGUUUGAUAAUUUGGUUUGUCUAUGGAAGUUUAAAUUUUUAGCG